GCCGGGAUGGCGGAACUGGCAGACGCAACGGACUUAAAAUCCGUCGGGCCCGCAGCCCGUACCGGUUCGAACCCGGUUCCCGGCACCA
rnacentral:tRNA from 1 species